GCCGCCGUAGCUCAGUAGGUAGAGCGCUGGCCUCGUAUAAGCCAGCGGUCGCGGGUUCAAGUCCCGCCGGCGGCU
rnacentral:tRNA from 1 species